rnacentral:rRNA from 1 species
CUCCGGUUGAUUUUGCCGGACCUGACUGCUAUCGGAUUGGUACUAAGCCAUGCGAGUCAUUGUACCAAUACAAGGCGGACGGGUCAGUAACACGUAAUCAACCUAAUCUCGUGGACGUGGAUAACCUCGGGAAACUGACAAUAAACCAGGAUAGAUCAUAGUGCCUGGAAUGGCUUAUGGUCCAAACAGUUUACUGCCGUGGGAUGGGACUGCGGCCUAUCAGGCUUGUUGGUGAGGUAAUGGCCCACCAAGGCGAUUACAGGUACGGGCUCUGAGAGGAGAACCCCGGAGAUGGGUACUGAGACACGGACCCAGGCCCUAUGGGGCGCAGCAGGCGAGAAACCUUAGCAAUGUGCGAAAGCACGACUGGGUCACUCCGAGUGAUUCCUGAUAAAGGAGUCUUUUGCUUGUCCUAAAAGCACAGGUGAAUAAGGGGUGGGCAAGUCUGGUGUCAGCCGCCGCGGUAAUACCAGCACCCCGAGUGGUCGGGACGAUUAUUGGGCCUAAAGCAUCCGUAGCCGGUUCUGCAAGUCUUCCGUUAAAUCCAGCCGCUCAACGGAUGGGCCGCGGAGGAUACUACAGGACUAGGAGGCGGGAGAGGCAAGCGGUACUCAGUGGGUAGGGGUAAAAUCCUUUGAUCCAUUGAAGACCACCAGUGGCGAAGGCGGCUUGCCAGAACGCGCUCGACGGUGAGGGAUGAAAGCUGGGGGAGCAAACCGGAUUAGAUACCCGGGUAGUCCCAGCUGUAAACGAUGCAGACUCGGUGAUGGGCUAGCCUUGUGCCAGCCCAGUGCCGCAGGGAAGCCGUUAAGUCUGCAACAUGGGGCGUACGGUCGCAAGACUGAAACUUAAAGGAAUUAACGGGGGAGCA